UUUUUAGUAUAAGUAUAGCCCAUGAAAUAGUUGGGAUAUACUUAUGCUAAAA
rfam:Macaca mulatta chromosome 16, whole genome shotgun sequence.